GGUGGUUACAAGGACGACGUUCUGGUUUUAUGCUACCGCUGCUCUCCUGCUCAGCCCAGUGUGAGGUGGCCAUCAGGCUCCCACAGGUGCCUCCUGAUCAGAGCAGGUCUUGGAUGGAUGGAUGGAUGAUCUUCACAGCCCUUGUCUCCUGAAGGCCACGCUUGUCCACCUCCGCCCUUUCUGGAGAGGAUGCUGGGGGAGCAGUGGGAAGCAGGGACGCUGAUUUGAGUGUUUGGUCUGUGCCCGCGCUCAGCACUCAGGAGGAUUAGUCACGGUUCACGCUGUCAUAAUAAAUUAAGGUGCAAGGACAACAGUAUAUUAGAGGGUGGUGGAUACAUUUGAAGACGUGGUUCGGGCUGUGCCCCCUUCUCUCCGAGGCGCACCUUAAAGUUGGCUUUCAGCUCGGCGUGACGUGAUGAGAGACGACAUCGCAUUGUUCUUGGGACAGGGUAGGGGGGAAAAAAGAGCCGAAAAGGAACUGUGAAAUUCAUGGCUUGGCACGGUUGAAAGAUCCCAAUGGGAGGGACGGGACUUUCUCGGCAGAGCAAGGCAGGUGUACCGCUGAUGCAGAGAGCCGCUAAUGCAUCUCCAGUUUAGUCCUAACCUUCCUCUCCCAGUACCUUGAACUGGGAAGUGCAGAACUGGCUAAAGAGACCCAGGGAGUUGUCCCGAACCCAUAGCUUCAGUCUGCGUCCUUUUCUGUUGGUGGACGAAAGUCCUGGGCUGCCCAAAGCCUGCCGCCUAACCGGUGUCAGUUGUUUCUCAUUGUUCCCCCCAUGCAAACGACACCAGUGGGGACAGCUGCCUAAAGCCAGCUUGGCAGAACGGCCGUGGAAAUAUUCACUGCGUGGAAAAAAUCAAGGCCUUUUUUUUUUUUCCUCUAAGUAGUAGAUAGAAAGUCAGCUCCGUUCCUGGAAUUGUUUUUGAAAUAACUCCUAGUCAAAGUAUCCUCAUUUGAAGGAUCCAGGACUGUAAGA